GCUAGAAUAAAAGCUUUCCUUCUGAUACCAUCAAGUGUUUUUGCCCAGUUUCAUGACGAUUAUGAGUCUGCAAAGUGAACACGUCACCAGAAGCUUGCCGAAGGGGCAUGAGAAAGCCUCAUUCUUUUGCGGCUUCGAUGCCACCAUGUGUUCUAGGCUCCUCUGCUGUGUAGCCCUUUGUCUCUUGGGAGCAGCAGGCAUUAGUGAUGCCGAAGUCAUUCAGACUCCCAGUCAUCUGGUCAAAGGCAAAGGACAGAAAGCGAAGAUGGAUUGUCUCCCCCAAAAAGGACAUCCUGUAGUUUACUGGUAUCAACAGAUCCAGAACGAAGAGUUCAAGUUUUUGAUUUACUUUCAGAACGAAGAUAUUCUCGAUCAAAUUGAGUUGGUCAAGAAGCGAUUCUCGGCUAACUGCUCCCAAAACUCCCAAAACUCACACUGCAGCCUGGAAAUCCGGUCCUCAGAACCAGGAGACUCAGCCCUGUACUUCUGUGCCAGCAGCCAAUCCACAGUGCUGAAACAGCAGUUCCUCUUAGUGCAUAAACUCACCAUGGACCCAGCCCAGGAAGCAGGUGACGUGUUAGGAAGGGAGGAAGGAACAGAAAUGAACCUGAGCUCGCUCAAGCCCCAGUGGAAUUUGCUACCAGGCUAA